rnacentral:rRNA from 1 species
GUACCGUGAGGGAAAGAUGAAAAGAACUUUGAAAAGAGAGUUAAACAGUACGUGAAAUUGUUGAAAGGGAAACGAUUGAAGUCAGUCAUACCAACGGGAAAUCAACCUUUUGAGCUUGGUCUCGUGGGUUUUGAAGAGUUUCAAAGCCUUCGGAUUCGCGGGAUUGGGAUCUCUCGGUGUACUUUUUCGUACGGUUAGUCAACAUCGGUUUUGAAUGUCAUAAAAUGACUGGAGGAAUGUAGCUUCGAUCUCGUAUUGAAGUGUUAUAGCCUUUGGUAGAUGUGAUGUUUGAGACCGAGGAUUGCAACGGAUACCCUUCAGGGCUAUUCGUCUGAUCUCUGAUACGUUGCCUUGAUGUUGAAAGCUUGCUUAUGAUGUUAGGGUAUUACGGUCAAAAGGUUAGAACGAAUUACAUUCGUUAAGG